rnacentral:rRNA from 1 species
AACGAACGCUGGCGGCAUGCCUAACACAUGCGAGUCGAACGAGACCUUCGGGUCUAGUGGCGCACGGGUGCGUAACGCGUGGGAACCUGCCCUUAGGUUCGGAAUAACUCCCCGAAAGGGGUGCUAAUACCGGAUAAUGUCUUCGGACCAAAGAUUUAUCGCCUUUGGAUGGGCCCGCGUUGGAUUAGCUAGUUGGUAGGGUAAAAGCCUACCAAGGCGACGAUCCAUAGCUGGUCUGAGAGGAUGAUCAGCCACACUGGGACUGAGACACGGCCCAGACUCCUACGGGAGGCAGCAGUGGGGAAUAUUGGACAAUGGGCGAAAGCCUGAUCCAGCAAUGCCGCGUGAGUGAUGAAGGCCUUAGGGCUGUAAAGCUCUUUUACCCGGGAUGAUAAUGACAGUACCGGGAGAAUAAGCUCCGGCUAACUCCGUG